UGGGUAACCUGCCUCAUACAGGGGGAGUAACAGUUAGAAAUGACUGCUAAUACCGCAUAAGCGCACAGUGCUGCAUGGCACAGUGUGAAAAACUCCGGUGGUAUGAGAUGGACCCGCGUCUGAUUAGCUAGUUGGUGGGGUAACGGCCUACCAAGGCGACGAUCAGUAGCCGGCCUGAGAGGGUGAACGGCCACAUUGGGACUGAGACACGGCCCAAACUCCUACGGGAGGCAGCAUG
rnacentral:rRNA from 1 species